AUGUCAACUGUAGAGCCUCAAGAGGUGCUGAAUGAUUCAUACUGUAAAGUGUUGUUCAUGGCUUUGUCCCAGGCCUGUAGGAUGGACGGUGAAGAAAACUCAUCUUCCUGGACAUUGAUCAUGAAAAAGAUUGUAUUACAGAGGUUAAAGUUCAGCGUGUCAAUGUUAGAAAAUAAACCACAUGUUGUGUACCGUUUCAGAUUUUAUUUCAACAGUCAACAUACAUCUACUGCUUAUCAGCUUCAUCCAAAUGUCCACAUUGUCUGUUGUAAAACGAGCUACAUUCUGACACAGCAACAACAACCCCAUAACACACCUACCAUCUCUCACACACGUCCACACACUGUGGGAGCUGAACAGCCGCAUGUCUCAGGUCAGGGUUCAGGUCUGGGUCAGGACCACUGGUCUCAGGUCAGGACCACUGAUCUCAGGUCAGGGUUCAGGCCAGGGAUGGGACCACUGACCUCACGACAAGGUUCAGGUCUGGGAUGGGACCACUGGUCUCAGGUCAGGGUUCAGGUCUGGGUCAGGACCACUGGUCUCAGGUCAGGACCACUGAUCUCAGGUCAGGGUUCAGGCCUGGGUCAGGACCACUGGUCUCAGGUCAGGACCACUGAUCUCAGGUCAGGGUUCAGGCCAGGGAUGGGACCACUGACCUCACGACAAGGUUCAGGUCUGGGAUGGGACCACUGGUCUCAGGUCAGGGUUCAGGUCUGGGUCAGGACCACUGGUCUCAGGACAGGGUUCAGGUCAGAACUUAUUCAAAGCCUUUACCACAGGUAUCAGUCAUUACAUCAUUAUAUCAUUCCUUUACCACAGGUAUCAGUCAUUACAUCAUUCCUUUACCACAGGUAUCAGUCAUUACAUCAUUCCUUUACCACAGGUAUCAGUCAUUAUAUCAUUACAUCAUUCCUUUACCACAGGUAUCAGUCAUUAUAUCAUUCCUUUACCACAGGUAUCAGUCAUUAUAUCAUUCCUUUACCACAGGUAUCAGUCAUUAUAUCAUUACAUCAUUCCUUUACCACAGGUAUCAGACAAAACCCACAACCACACCGUUCGUUAAUAAUAUAUCAUAUAGCGCUUUAAUCCAAAGUGAUUUACAGUCAUGCGUGCGUACAUUUUACGUCUGGGCUGCCCCGGGAAUCGAACCUACAACCCUGGGGUACAAGCACCAUGCUCUACCAACUGAGCUGUUCGGGAACUGUUCGGGAGCUGUUCGGGAGCUGUUCGGGAGCUGUUCGGGAGCUGUUCGGGAACUGUUCGGGAGCUGUUCGGGAACUGUUCGGGAACUGUUCGGUAGCUGUUCGGGAACUGUUCGGUAGCUGUUCGGGAACUGUUCGGGAGCUGUUCGGGAACUGUUCGGUAGCUGUUCGGGAACUGUUCGGGAGCUGUUCGGGAACUGUUCGGGAACUGUUCAAAUAAGACCUGAGAUUUGAAUUGUCAAUCAGAAGAAGACAGAGGAACAGGAGAAGCCUCUAAUUUGGAUGUGUGAGGUAUUGGAUGAUUUGACACAGGGCUAUCAAGGAUCUCUGAUCGCGUUCUUCAUAACGCUUCAUAAAGACUUCUUAAGGCUUCAUAAAGACUUCAUAAGGCUUCAUAGAGGCUUCAUAAGGCUUCAUAGAGACUUCUUAAGGCUUCAUAAAGACUUCACAAGGCUUCAUAAAGACUUCUUAAGGCUUCAUAAAGACUUCACAAGGCUUCAUAGAGGCUUCAUAAGGCUUCAUAAAGACUUCUUAAGGCUUCAUAAAGACUUCACAAGGCUUCAUAAAGACUCCUUAAGGCUUCAUAAAGACUCCUUAAGGCUUCAUAAAGACUCCUUAAGGCUUCAUAAAUACUUCUUAAGGCUUCAUAAAGACUCCUUAAGGCUUCAUAAAGACUCCUUAAGGCUUCAUAAAGACUAUAAAGACUUCUUAAGGCUUCAUAAAGACUCCUUAAGGCUUCAUAGAGACUCCUUAAGGCUUCAUAAAGACUUCUUAAGGCUUCAUAAAGACUUCAUAAGGCUUCAUAGAGACUUCAUAAGGCUUCAUAAAGACUUUAUAAGGCUUCAUAAAAGCUCCAUGAAUCCAACGUCAGGCAGACAUCUACUGCUCCUUGACGACGAUCAUCAACAUUCAGAAAUAAAUGAAAACGAUGAACACUCAUCCAAACAAAAGACUCAGUUUGUCUCAGUCCUCUCAGAGUUCACCUCAUCAUCACAUUCAUCAUCGUCACACAGCUGCUUUCUGCUUCCAGGUCAAAGUUCAACUACAUUAAUGCCAACUGUCGCGACACAAGUACACAUAGAGCCGCUUAAAUCAACUCAAGGUUCAAGUCCCUAGUGGGAUAAUAAGAUGGGUCCAUAACAAGUCUUUCCCCUCAACAUGGGUCUGAUCUGAGGAGGUUAUACUCCCUAGAACGGACGUCUCCAUUCAAAUCAAUGAUUCCGUAAGGGGCGGACUGGA
rnacentral:lncRNA from 1 species